rnacentral:rRNA from 1 species
GACGAACGCUGGCGGCGUGCCUAAUACAUGCAAGUAGAACGCUGAAGAGAGGAGCUUGCUCUUCUUGGAUGAGUUGCGAACGGGUGAGUAACGCGUAGGUAACCUGCCUUGUAGCGGGGGAUAACUAUUGGAAACGAUAGCUAAUACCGCAUAACAAUGGAUGACACAUGUCAUUUAUUUGAAAGGGGCAAUUGCUCCACUACAAGAUGGACCUGCGUUGUAUUAGCUAGUAGGUGAGGUAAUGGCUCACCUAGGCGACGAUACAUAGCCGACCUGAGAGGGUGGGCGGCCACACUGAGACUGAGACACGGCCCAGACUCCUACGGGAGGCAGCCGUAGGGAAUCUUCGGCAAUGGGUGCAACCCUGACCGAGCAACGCCGCGUGAGGGAAGAAGGUUUUCGGAUCGUAAAGCUCUGUUGUAAGUCAAGAACGGGUGUGAGAGUGGAAAGUUCACACUGUGACGGUAGCUUACCAGAAAGGGACGGCUAACUACGUG